AUGUGUGUCCCUGAUCUGUGUGUCCUCAAGAGUGCUGUGUUAGGUUAUAAAGGUUAUAACUUGGGGGCAAUAGUUGCACGUAGGUUGCAGAAUAAUAGUAGAAAGGGAAAUUUAUUUGGAGGAAUUUAUGCAACCCAUGUGGCUAAUUAUCUUGGUAUAGCCCCACGAGAGGGUGAUAUGAUGUUACCUCCUGUUUAUUUGGAUUCUGAAGCUAUGGUCAAUCAUCAAUUUCUUGGGAGGAACGAACAAUUCCUCCAAUAUCGACUAAUCUAUGACAGACGCAACGUCGUCCAUGUUACUCUUCCUGCUCCCUACCUUUUUGAUUAUCAGGCAAAAGGAAGAUAUGUUGUCACCAGGGAGGAAGCAGCUGAACACGAGGGGAGAGCGGAGGCAGCUCGCCAACACGCUGCAGCUCUGGAGGCGGUUGCCGCUGCAUCUUAG
rnacentral:rRNA from 1 species